GUAAUUCAUCAGUGACUACAAAUAACUGAAGAAAGUACUUAUUGCUUUCAGACAGGAUGCUCUGUCCUCUGAAUAAUGGUACUUAUCUCCUUAUUUGCUCUCCUUACCAUUUUUCUUUUUCUCCUGCCAGAUCCAAGUUAAAGACAAAAUGAACAGUAGACAAGAAGAAUCCUGGUGUUCAGUUUAUCUGCCUACAAGAAAACCAGUAAUUUCUGCAACUCACAGUUGUAGUUUUAGGUAUACAGACCUCAUUCUUUCAUGGGGAAUCACUUCUAGAGAGAUGUGCUGUCUUUGCUGAGAACAUCCAUGGCACAAUGGAUCCCAGUCCAACAUCUGAAUAGGGCAUUCUGAAAUACUGUGUCUAGUUCUGGGCUCUCUGGUUCAAAAAAGGAAUCUUCUGGAAAGAGCUAGAAAACAUCCAGUGGAAGGCAAGAAAGAUGACUGAGGGCCUGGAGCAUCUUAACACAAGAGACAAGAGUAUCUUCAAUAUGGAGAAGAGAAGGCUAAGAGGGAAUCCCAUCACUGUUUAUGUUAUGAAAAUCUGAAGUUCAGGA
rnacentral:lncRNA from 1 species